ACGAAGGGUGCAAGCGUUACUCGGAAUUACUGGGCGUAAAGCGUGCGUAGGUGGUUCGUUAAGUCUGAUGUGAAAGCCCUGGGCUCAACCUGGGAAUUGCAUUGGAUACUGGCGGGCUAGAGUGCGGUAGAGGGUAGUGGAAUUCCUGGUGUAGCAGUGAAAUGCGUAGAGAUCAGGAGGAACAUCCGUGGCGAAGGCAGGUCUCUGGGCUGACACUGACGCUCAUGCGCGAAAGCGUGGGGAGCAAACAGGA
rnacentral:rRNA from 1 species